rnacentral:sRNA from 1 species
GGAAGGGGACCCAAACACUAUUCCCACUCCAUCUCAGAAUGUCACAAGAGUGAGAAAAGCGGUCUGAGCCCAGAGCCAGGAAGCCCCCCCCUCGUUCGUCAGGGAUGCAGGAGUAGUAGUUUUCUCUUGUUUUAUUGGUUUGUAUCCCCUGUACACACUGACAGGGGGUCUCAUUCCAGGCUCUCGCACACUUCAAAUGGACCAUGAGGAACAGCGCCUCGCACUUCACACUGAGUGCGCUGGAGACCCCGUGGGAUGAAAUCCACGCUGCUGGUCUUAUUUUUGCAAAGAUGAGGGGAGUCAGCCUAGAGUGACACGAUUCUGCUCAAGUCAUGGAGGGGGUUUCAGCCGUACGGGUCGUCCAUUUCCUUUCAAGGUUCCAACACAGACUGAUGACCAGAAGCUCUCCAGGACUCCUCUGGUACUCCAGCAGCAGACUGAAACUGCUGAGACUACAAUUUUAUGGACUGAAGAACUCCUGGAUCUGUGGUUUUUCCCUUGGAAGACAGCCAUUGCUGAACUACGUGGACCACAGCCUGGGCAACAGAACACCUCUGCACACCAGGCCAGAAGGGGGAAGUGGAGCCCAGGACCAGCAGGAGCCCAGUCCAGUCGGGAGCCAGUGGGGAGUGCAUAGGCGUGAAGGCGUUCCCUGUGGCGAUCUUUGAUGAAGCGUCUCUCUGAGGUCA